CCUCAAAGAGGGGAAUAGCCUCCCGAAAGGGAGAUUAAUACCGCAUAAUAUGUUUUGGUCGCAUGACUGAGACAUCAAAGGAUACUUCUUCGGAAGCAUCCGCUUUGAGAUGGACCCGCGGCGCAUUAGCUAGUUGGUGAGGUAACGGCUCACCAAGGCGACGAUGCGUAGCCGACCUGAGAGGGUGAUCGGCCACAUUGGAACUGAGACACGGUCCAG
rnacentral:rRNA from 1 species